CGCCAAAUAAUUGAAGCCCCGAUGAUUCUAUGAUUCCCAAUCCUACAACAGUCUGCGUACAACAGUCAAGUACGCAGAUUUCGACUCGCAAGUUACAACGUCGCAAGGCAGGACGGAGAGAAAGAGCCGCAUCCGCAAGGACGACGAGGAAACGUCAAAAUAUGGGCUGAAAGGAUGAUUUCAAGGUGCCUUUAUCGGGAAAAGAAACCUAAAGCGCGGUGAAGGAAAUGGAGCGUUCCUAUCGCAGUAAGCAUUGCGAUCUGCUGGAAGAGUUGCUGAAGUUUAUAAAUGGAAGUUAAACCUUGGAAAAUAUUCUGAUGCUCGGCAUCGCUAAGCGCC
rnacentral:lncRNA from 1 species